ensembl:lncRNA novel transcript
GUCACAUGGAGUGACAGGCCGGCGGAAGGCGCUUUAGUCGUCGCCCAGCGUUCUCCAAGGUGUAAGGAGGCAGGAUCUUCCCAUACUGGCGGCGCAGGGGGCCUCACGGCUGCGGACGCCCGCCCUGGAUCUCUCAGCUCGGCAGAUCCUUUGGGUGGAGAGGCGCUCUCCAGGGUCGCGGCGAAGGAGAGCGGCUUCUCGGCACGUCCCUCCGUAUUUCUUCUAGAUCAGCUCCGGCCCCACCGUCCAGGAGAGGGCCCGCCUGAGGACCUCUGUCUGUGCCGCGCGUGGUCAGCCCCGGUCCCCUCACUCCAUGGCUGGCCCCUAGCCCUUCAGAGCGGACACCUCUCCUUAGGGAUGCAGGGCGAGGAAGGGCGGGUGGAGCUGCGAACCCACGGGGACCUGGAGGACCUCUUGGCCCCCUGGAGAGGGGUACUAUGAGAGGGAUUCAUGGGACACAGAUUUGGGGGACUGGGUAAUUUUACCCCCUUUGGCAACCAUAAAAACCCUGAGCAAACGUGUCCAUUCGCUAUUUCGCAGAAAUAUACAAUGCAGGCCCACA